GUCUUUUUGAGAAUAAUUUAAAGUUUAAUCUGCCCAAUGAGGGUUUCAAUGGCCGCGGUAUUUUGACCGUGCGAAGGUAGCAUAAUAAUUAGCUUCUUAAUUAGGAGCUAGUAUGAAUGAUUGGACGAGGAAACUGCUGUCUCAAUUUAAUUUUAUUAGAAUUUUAUUUUUAAGUUAAAAAGCUUAAAUGGGUAUAAAAGACGAGAAGACCCUAUAGAGUUUAAUAUUUAAUUGUUUAUUGAUUUUGAGGUAUUUGGGAAUUUUUAAUAGAUUAGGUAUUUAAUUGGGGUGAUUAGAAAAUUUAAUUAACUUUUCUUUUUUUAUUACAUUGAUUAGUGAUUUUUUGAUCCAUUAUUAUGAUUAUAAGACUAAAUUACCUUAGGGAUAACAGCGUUAUUACUCAUAAGAGUUCUUAUCGAAUGAGUAGUUUGCGACCUCGAUGUUGGAUUAAAAUUUAUUUUCGGCGCAGAAGUUGGGAAAUUUAGGUCUGUUCGACCUUUGGAAUUUUACA
rnacentral:rRNA from 1 species